rnacentral:lncRNA from 1 species
GCCCCGGGGCUCCGCGCCCCUGGCCCGCGCCCCGCGCCGCGCCUGGCCCCGAGCUCAGGCCCCGGCUCCCCGGCCCGGCCGCCCCGCGGGCCCCUCGCAGAAGUUUUGAUCGUCUUCGAAACAAAUCCCUCUGCUCCACCCCCUUGAAAAAUUGAUUUGGGAGUUGGGGAGCGAAGGCUUUCUUUUUUCUCCUCUGCCUUCUUUAUUAUUAAUAUUUUGUAAAGCUCCAGCGCUACGAGGAGUGGCCCCGAGCGAGGCCAGACUGCGCGGACGGCAGGGAGCGCGGCGGCUCCGCCAGGGGACGGCGCCGGCCGGGAGUGGCCGCUUGGGAACCCCCGACUGUCGGCCGAGGGUUGUCGAGAGGCUGAAACAUAAGUGCUCACCACAACACCCAGCACCUACCAGGCCUCUAUACAUAUUUGCCUGUCUGGAACCGGGAGCUUCCCCAGCUGAGGACCACAGUGAGAGCAGAGAAGACCCAGGAUCGUAUUUGAAACCAUAAAAGCCACAUGAAGACACUAAGAAUAACUUGCAGAAAGACAUUUUCUAUGAAUUGAACACAGAGUCCCAAAACCCAGAAAGUUCCCUGGUCUCUAUCUCAUGGGCCCGUGUCUGGGGAAGGGGGCCCGAUGUGAGGCUGGGGCCAGUGCCCAUCCUAUUUGAUCUUUAUCUUAAAUCCACUUCAAAAUGCUGUGGCUUGGUGGAUUGAAGGUUCGCCCCUUCCUGUAAUUAUUUGGUGUCUGGUAAAGUUUUUAUGAGUGUUUGUGCAAA